GACGAACGCUGGCGGCGUGCUUAACACAUGCAAGUCGAACGGAAAGGCCCUGCUUUUGUGGGGUGCUCGAGUGGCGAACGGGUGAGUAACACGUGAGUAACCUGCCCUUGACUUUGGGAUAACUUCAGGAAACUGGGGCUAAUAUCGGAUAGGAGCUCCUGCUGCAUGGUGGGGGUUGGAAAGUUUCGGCGGUUGGGGAUGGACUCGCGGCUUAUCAGCUUGUUGGUGGGGUAGUGGCUUACCAAGGUUUUGACGGGUAGCCGGCCUGAGAGGGUGACCGGCCACAUUGGGACUGAGAUACGGCCCAGACUCCUACGGGAGGCAGCAGUGGGGAAUAUUGCACAAUGGGCGGAAGCCUGAUGCAGCAACGCCGCGUGCGGGAUGACGGCCUUCGGGUUGUAAACCGCUUUCGCCUGUGACGAAGCGUGAGUGACGGUAAUGGGUAAAGAAGCACCGGCUAACUACGU
rnacentral:rRNA from 1 species